UACAGAGGUCCCAAGCGUUGUUCGGAUUUACUGGGCGUAAAGGGUGCGUAGGUGGUUGGGUAAGUUUGAUGUGAAAUCUCCGGGCUUAACCCGGAAAUGGCAUUGAAUGCUAGUCGGCUAGAGGUUUGGAGGGGGGACUGGAAUUCUUGGUGUAGCAGUGAAAUGCGUAGAUAUCAAGAGGAACACCAGUGGCGAAGGCGAGUCCCUGGACAACACCUGACACUGAGGCACGAAAGCUAGGGGAGCAAACAGG
rnacentral:rRNA from 1 species